rnacentral:rRNA from 1 species
UGGGGAAUAUUGGACAAUGGGCGAAACCCUGACCGAGCGACGCCGCGUGGAGGAUGAAGGCCCUUGGGUUGUAAACUCCUUUCGUGGGGGAAGAAUGUGCCCGAGGUGAAUAAUCUCGAGUAUUGACGGUACCCCCGGAAUAAGCCCCGGCUCACUCUGUGCCAGCAGCCGCGGUAAUACAGAGGGGGCAAGCGUUGUCCGGACUUACUGGGUGUAAAGCGCAUGCAGGUGGCUGUGCAAGUAUGCUGUGAAAGCCCCGUGCUUAACACGGGGAGGCCAGUAUAGACUGCACGGCUCGAGGACUGCAGAGGGUAGGGGAAUUGUUGGUGUAGUGGUGAAAUGCGUAGAGAUCAGCAGGAAUACCAAUGCCGAAGGGACCUACCUGGGCAGUAUCUGACACUCAAGUGCGACAGCGUGGGGAGCGAA